rnacentral:lncRNA from 1 species
AUGAGGUUUCUUGUUCUUUGUGACCCUGAUUUCCCACUACCUGGCUUCUUCUGGGAAGAGGGUUCCAAGAAAACUUUCAGAAGUAGAGAGCAAACAAACAGGGAAGAUUUUAACCAGUUAAAAGAGACGGCAGAUUCUGCCUUUCUGGGGAAGGCUGCUGUCUACGGCUCACUCAGCCACUCAUUCAGUAGCUUUACCUCUCUGAUCGAUUUCCAGCCAGCGGUUCCUGUUUUCCAACCAGGAUAUGCAAACAAGAGCACUUACUGGAAGGGAGGUCUCGGGGCCUCUGGAUUUCAUCAGCUGCCCACUCUCCCAGGAGAGCAGGUGGGACCAGUCGAGCCAGAGGCCAAGGCCAGGAGGCAGGCUGAACAUUUCAAGGCUCUGUUUAAUUUACUGAGCAAAUGAACGGCAGCGUUUUGCAGAAGCCGAAGGAGUAUUGAAUUUCUUAGAGGCCUAAUACACACAAAUGAACUUCAGGAAGUGUUGCAACUCUUCUCCAGAAAGGGGUGGGCAGCCCGCAGGAUUGAAGGAAGCAUCCGCCAGCACCACCAGGAGGACUUCCUGCCCACAUGUUGGUGUCCUGUUACUCAAAUGGUUCAAAAAUGUCUGCCUUUAAACACAUACUCAUGAAAUUAAAAGCAUUAGAAUCACUAGUCCUAGCAAACCAAACGACUUCAUCCAUUUCUCAUGGGUAAUGAAUCCCUGCGCUUUCAGGUCAGUUUCUUAGCUGUGACAAAUGGACCACAGUCAUGUAAAAGGACAAUAUUAGGGGGAAGGGGAACUGGAAGAGGGGUGUACAUAGCACUUUCUGACUAAAAUACAAGUUUGAUUCCAUUAAGGAAACAAAAAUAGUAUAUAUAGACUUUGGCUUUUCACUCUUUCCCUUAUCAUUUAAGAAUUUUUCAUUUCUCUUUGUGAGACCAUAAAAAGUUGUCUUACAAUUUUUUGCUCUCCUUUACCAUCCAAUUGGUG